CAGUGGCGAACUUCUAACCCCUACAUUGUCGAGAUUGCUGAUUGUGAUGAUGUUGAAGUUUACAUUGAGGCUCUAAGUUUGAUGUAUUGUAUGGAUUUGAGGAAGAAGCUCAUGAAGGAAGAUGUCACUAGAGUACUUGGAAUCUUGAAGGGAAGACAUUGAUGUGAAAUUCCCUACAAGUUGCGGGACGUCAAAUCUACCUUUGAACUAUUCUGAAACG